AUUCAAAAUAUUCUAGAAAAUUCACGAACAAGAAAUAAGAGAAGAGAAGAAACUAGAGAGGGAGAAGGCCACGAUUUGGAGGGAAAAAAGCCCAAAACGUUACCAAACAGCCCCAAAGUUUCAGCUGCGCUAAAGGAAAUUCCGAGGCGAGUUUCGACGAGUUUGAUGAGUUUCGGGCAAGGUACAGGCGCGCGCUUUGGGGAUCCGCCAGCUUAGGAUUCCACUCAGCAAAUUUGGAAGAAGCUCUAUUGAAUCGGAGCCGAGUUUUGGUACUAAACCUUCUAUGUAUAUGUAAUUAUUUGAUUAUGGGUACGGCGGGGGCCCUAUCCCACCUUAUGUUACUAUUCUUACUCUUAGAGGUCGGUGGACAUGUAGUGGGUUAUACGUGGGUUGUGUAUACAUGUACGUGGGUUGUGUAUACAUGUACGUGGGUUGUGUAUAUAUGUAUGUGGGUUGUGUAUACAUGUGUGAACAGUUAUGCCUAUAGGUUCCAGAUCCAAGUGGUAGUAUCAGGCCCUUUAGAUAGCCUCGUCGGCUUA